rnacentral:lncRNA from 1 species
AUUAGAAUAAAUUUUUGAUUAAAUAAUUAUUUAUAAUAAGAUAAAAAAUUAAUGAAAAAUUUAAUUAUUUAAUUGAAUUGAAUCCGUCUUUUUGUUGGGUUGUAAUGUAAAUAGUACAGGAUGGAGCUCGAAGAGAAACAUCCAUUUUUCAGGGGCAAGGAUCUAGGGUUAAUUAAUGGAAAUAAAUAAGUUGGAACAACUUCGUAAGUCUAUUUUUGAUAUAGAAAUCGAAAAGCUCCGAUUCAAACUAUUUUCAAAUCAAAAAGAAAAAUUGUUGGAAUUGGUAAAACUCUUUCGAUCAAAAGUGUAUAAUGCGGGAAUUAAUCGUUCAUAUGAUUCUUUGAUAGAAAGAAAAAAAGAGAGAAAAAGGGGCAUGUUGCUGCCAUUG